AGAGGAAACUUUGGCUAAUACCGGAUAACAACAGAGAAGGCAUCUUCUUUGCUUGAAAGGCCCUUUCGGGUCACUUAAGGAUGGACCUGCGGCGCAUUAGCUAGUUGGUGAGAUAACAGCCCACCAAGGCGAGGAUGCGUAGCCGAACUGAGAGGUUGAUCGGCCACAUUGGAACUGAGACACGGUACCAAACUCCGUACGGGAGGCAGCAGUAAGGUAGUUUUCGGCAAGUCGGGGGAAACCUGACCGAGCAACGCCGCGUGAGUGAUGACCGGCCUAGUGGGUUAGUAAAGCUUCUUUUAGUAAGGGACGAAUGGUGGGGUUAGGAAAUGAACUCCAUUUGACGGUACCUUUUGAAUAAGCCACGGCUAACUACGUGCCAGCCGCGGC
rnacentral:rRNA from 1 species